ensembl:lncRNA
UCUCAGCAAAAUUUCAGGAAGCUCCAUUUCACUCUAACUGAAGUUGCCCUGAUGUGUUUGUUACUGUGGGCAUACAUGUUUCUGUUUUCAUAGCAGCUGAGGAAGACACCUCUUGGGGAAACUGCCAUGGCUUUUGACUUCUAACCUACCAAUCCAUUAGAUUCCUAAAGAAGAUUAAAGAGAUGAUAAAGAUUGAUUUGGGGGGGAAAAAAGAGAAAAAUUUCAUUGUAAGGGUUGACUUCUACAGUAUUCACAUCACAGGGGAGUAUCAGCUUAGAUGUCUGUUGUGCCAUGACGCUUGCGCCAAAGGGCAGGGGUUAUUUGUACUCUGUAGGUGUCGUGUGUUGAAGCCUCAGAGUGAUGCCCUCAAGAAGCAAUCAUGGGAUUAAACUCACCUCCAUGCAUAUUCUGAGAGCUACAAAUGCACAGUAUGAAGGCAGAAAGCAUCUAUCUUUUCUUCUGCAAGCCUGAGAAGACUCUUUUCUAAUGCCUCCAAAAUAUCUCAGCAGUACAAUACUUCAAAGUCAUCUUUUCUUGCCUCAAAUGACUCAGCAAAGGAGAAUUUUAUCAUUUUAUUAAAAAAUGGAUAGCAAAGGGGAUUGUAAAUAUAGAUGAGCUUGAGAUGAGGUGUGAGAAUCUGCUUGAGAUUUGAUUAUCACUCCAUAAUGAAUGUUUCCAGUGUUAAGAUUUUUCAUCCGUCUCAACACCUAAUGUGGGAGAAACAGCUAUGAUGUCUUGAGCAGUCCCCUGGAGAGAGCCAAGUGGUGAAUUGCAACCUCCUGCCAGCACUGGGCACCAUCUAGGCAGCCAUGGGUGUAAGCUGUAUUGGAAGUGACUCUUCCAGUUUUUUCCUAGGCUAAAAUGAUGGGAAGAUGUGGAAAAUAAACUCAUCUUGCCUUUUUAAUGGUCACCACUGGAACAGAACAUCCUUUAAAAUCUGCCUGGUAGCUGAAUUGUUGAUUGAAUUCUGCAAGCAAAUGCCAACAUUACCAAAGUAAAACCACAGUGUAGAACAAGAGAAAUACUGAAUUCACCAGUGUAGCAGAUUGGAUUCUCUGCAACAACUGCUGAGAUGGAAUUUGAGGAUGAAAGAUGGUUAUUAUGAAUUAACAUCUGUGGAGGGAGACACAGACAGGAUUCAACUCAACUCCAAGUUACUGUGGAGCAAGCAAUGCCCAUUAGGUUUCAGUUGUUUUCAACAGAAGGGCGGGUCCAAGACCAACUCCUCCAUCAGGACCAGAAGAGUUUAAAAAUUUUGGAAGUACAAAAGGCAGCAAGAAACCCAGACCACAGCUUGGAAUGUUUGGCUGUAGACCCUUUCUCAGUUCUGGAGGCUACAAGUUCUACAUCAACGUAGUAGAUUGUUCACCAGUGGCUGUCUUCUGGCUCUGUCCUCACAUAGCAGAAUGGGUACUGGGGAUUGAACUUGGGACCUUGCACUUGCGUGGCAGGCAGCAGAACCACUGAGCUAAAUCUCCAGCCCAAUGUAACCCAGGCUGGAUUGAACUUUCAACUAUCCUCUUGCUUCAGUCUCCCAAAUGCUGGGAUUACUG